rnacentral:rRNA from 1 species
UAGGGAAUCUUCGGCAAUGGGGGGAACCCUGACCGAGCAACGCCGCGUGAGUGAAGAAGGUUUUCGGAUCGUAAAGCUCUGUUGUUAAGGAAGAACGAGUGUGAGAAUGGAAAGUUCAUACUGUGACGGUACUUAACCAGAAAGGGACGGCUAACUACGUGCCAGCAGCCGCGGUAAUACGUAGGUCCCGAGCGUUGUCCGGAUUUAUUGGGCGUAAAGCGAGCGCAGGCGGUUAGAUAAGUCUGAAGUUAAAGGCAGUGGCUCAACCAUUGUAGGCUUUGGAAACUGUUUAACUUGAGUGCGGAGGGGGAGAGUGGAAUUCCAUGUGUAGCGGUGAAAUGCGUAGAAAUAUGGAGGAACACCAGUGGCGAAAGCGGCUCUCUGGUCUGUAACUGACGCUGAGGCUCGAAAGCGUGGGGGGCGAACAGG